GACGAACGCUGGCGGCGUGCUUAACACAUGCAAGUCGAACGGAAAGGCCCUGCUUGCAGGGUACUCGAGUGUCGAACGGGUGAGUAACACGUGGGUGAUCUGCCCUGCACUUCGGGAUAAGCCUGGGAAACUGGGUCUAAUACCGGAUAGGAGCCAUUUUUAGUGUGAUGGUUGGAAAGUUUUUUCGGUGUAGGAUGAGCUCGCGGCCUAUCAGCUUGUUGGUGGGGUAAUGGCCUACCAAGGCGGCGACGGGUAGCCGGCCUGAGAGGGUGGACGGCCACAUUGGGACUGAGAGACGGCCCAGACUCCUACGGGAGGCAGCAGUGGGGAAUAUUGCACAAUGGGCGCAAGCCUGAUGCAGCGACGCCGCGUGGGGGAUGACGGCCUUCGGGUUGGAAACUCCUUUCGCUAGGGACGAAGCUUUUUGUGGCGGUACCUAGAUAAGAAGCACCGGCUAACUACGUG
rnacentral:rRNA from 1 species